CGCUGAAAGCAUCUAAGUGCGAAACUAGCCACGAGAUGAGACUUCCUUACAGGGUCGUUGGAGAUGACAACGUUGAUAGGCUACAGGUGUAAAGGUUGAGAGACCAAAGCCGAGUAGUACUAAUAGCCCGAAGCUUUCCAAG
rnacentral:rRNA from 1 species